CUAGCCCUUGAUUUGUGGCCUUUUCAAAGGUGGUUUUCUUUUGUUGUUAUAAGUGGAAGGAUUUGUCGAAGGAUAAAAAGGCUUGCUGAGUGAGAGGGUAAGCAUUAGAGAGAGGGAGAGCAUUCGGCUCUCUCCUGAGAAAGGCAUCAGAAAAACAUCCAAUGUGGAGAGAGCAUUUGGCUCUCCCAUGGAAAAGGUUGAACAUGGGUUGAGAGAAAAUCAAGAGAGCUAGAGUGAAAAGUAUUCUAGUGAAAGAACUCUUGGGGUAGAGUGAGGCUCUUGGGAAAAUUCUAUGAGUGGGUGUGCAAGGGAUUCAGGAUUGGGUUAUGUUGAUUUAACUCAUGUGUACUUGUAUUAUUAUUCUCAUAGUGAAGAGCAAUAUCUCUCCGGGGAUGUAGGCAAGUUUUUGCCGAACCUUGUAAAUUUCUCGGUGUCUUUAUUUCAUGUAUUUUAUUCUGUUCAACUGAGUGUGAUUUGGUGAGGUUGUAAUCUGAAUCUCGUUUCCGCACUAAUGAACGGGCCAAGGCACAACAAUUGGUAUCAGAGCAUCGUUGGAGGCUUGGUUCGUUGGAGGUCCAGAUUUGUUGUUUACCAUGGAAUUUUCAGUUGAGCAGUUUAAAGGGAAAGGCGAUUUUACUCUUGGUAAUGGAGAGUAAUGGAAGCCGUGUUCAGGGAUGCUUAGAUCAACUACGAAAGUUAAUGUUGAGGAAGAAGACAAAGGCCUCUUUCUUCUUACCUCACUUUCAGAUUCGUACGAGAACCUUGUGAAACUUUAUUGCAUGGAAAGAUACAGUAAGUUUGGAGCAGGUGCAAGCUUCUUUGGUAUGGAAUGAUACACAAAGGAGACCAUGGAUGAUGGUGGGCACAAGACUGCUUUAGCUGUUCAAGGUUGGAAUCGUGGAAGAAAAUUGGAAAAAGGAUAUGAGAGAUAGCAGGUUCAGAUCCGGUUCUGGAGGCAAGGGUCCAUAGUGCUACAGGUGCAAGGCUGGGUUGUAGCAAGUUUGUGGAAUAAGGCUUCGAGUAUGCCCUCUAGGUACUCGAAACAACACUUCUCCUGGUGAUGUUUAGUCUCAAGUGUUGCAGGGGUUUUGCAGCAGGUGGAGCUAUGGGAUUCACAGGUGAUGAGAUGGUCCUGAGGUAGGAGUAAGUAUGGGAAUUUUGUCUGGCUCGAUGGGUUGUUGCUGGAAACGGGCGCACUGACGAGUUUCCAGGUUGCAGACAAUGAAGAGGAGGAAAACCUGCUGGAGGAGACGAGGAUGUGUCGAGAUCCUGUCUGAAGCUAAAUUUUGAUUUUUAGCUUGCAGCAACUGCACAUGCAUUGGCAGUGACUGAAUCGGAACAGGACCAACGAGGUUGAUUCAGGGUCUGUAUGCUGGUACGUAAGGCCAAUGGGCUUUGGUGAUGGGUGCAAGGAUUUUUGCAUGGUGUAUUCGCCAAGGUGGAGAUUGUUGUGAUUGGCUCAUAUAAUUAUGAGUUAGCAACAAUUUCAUCUCAACCAUGUGGAGUGCUAGCUACUUUCGGCUAAAGAAAGGGACAAAGGAAAAGGGAGACAUCUACUUUUGGCUAAAGAAAGGGACAAAGAAAAAGGGAGACAUCAUCAUGUCUAGCCCUUGAUUUGUGGCCUUUUCAAAGGUGGUUUUCUUUUGCUGUUAUAAGUGGAAGGAUUUGCCGAAGGAUAAAAAGGCUUGCUGAGUGAGAGGGUAAGCAUUAGAGAGAGGGAGAGCAUUCGGCUCUCUCCUGAGAAAGACAUCAGAAAAACAUCCAAGGUGGAGAGAGCAUUCGGCUCUCCCAUGGAAAAGGUUGAACAUGGGUUGAGAGAAAAUCAAGAGAGCUAGAGUGAAAAGUAUUUUAGUGAAAGAACUCUUGGGGUAGAGUGAGGCUCUUGGGAAAAUUCUAUGAGUGGGUGUGCAAGGGAUUCGGGAUUGGGUUAUGUUGAUUUAACUCAUGUGUACUUGUACUGUUAUUCUCAUAGUGAAGAGCAAUAUCUCUCCGGGGACGUAGGCAGGUUUUUGCCGAACCUCGUAAAUUUCUCGGUGUCUUUAUUUCGUGUAUUUUAUUCUGUUGAACUGAGUGUGAUUUGGUGAGGUUGUAAUCUGAAUCUCGUUUCCGCACUAAUGAACGGGCCAAGGCACAACAAUUAUUAUCACUAAAGGUUAUCUCUAAAAAAAUUAUUCGAUUUGAAGACAAUUUAAUCAUCCACAUGUGUCGAAUAAAUCGAUGAUUAAGAUAACAAGAGAUGAACCCUCAAUUUCUUUCAUUUACCAUGAAUACCGCCUUUGAUCAAUAUCACACCGACUGCCUCAGAUCCUAAAAAUGUUUUACUUAUGGUGGCUGUCAGCUACGCAUAAAUACUAUUGAGGAAACAUUUAAAGGUUGAUAGAUUACUUUAGGGCAAACAAUUGCAUGAAUGCAUCAAUCGAUCGUCAGAUCGCGAGUGAAAUCGCGGGUUCAUUAGAUUGCAAUUGUGGUUGUCAGUGGGGUGGUCAGGCAGCAACAGUGGGGCAGACAAAACGAAUGCGGCCUAACGCGGUGGUGACCUGAUGCGGGCAGCUGUGAGUGGCGCGGGUCUGAUGCAGGUGCAAUACGGAUUGGUGGGUUCAGCAAAUCUUGUCAGGCGGGCUUGGUUGGCAUAGCGGCAGAUGAGUAGCAGCACAUCAUAACAACAAAAGCUGAUAAGUAUAUAUAGAAUAAAAGAUUCCCUUCUGAAUGCUUAGGACUGAAAAUUAUGUAGCCUCGGACAAUCAUUCCAUUAAAAUAGAAUUUGCCGUAUACACAACUCAGUGCAUUGGUUUUGUUCUGCAUUAAAUCAGAAAUUCUGAAGAAGACUGAAGCCCUAAAUGGCUUUCUUCCAUAGAUGAUCAUAUAAUCAACAAUAACAAGAAAAAAUCAUCAUAUGUUGUUCAAAUGUAAUACCAGUAGAAUCGGAAAACAACUGAACUUGACUUCCAAUUUUAAUUUUAGUUUCGAAGAACUUACUCCGGAGAACAAGCAUCAAUAUCCAGCAGCGGAAGCAUUAAUCACAGAUAUUAUAGUACUCGAGAUCAGGUUUGAACCAUCAUGAAACACCCAGAUUAUUAAAAUUGAAAUCCAGAAAGGAAGAGGAAGAACGAGGAGUCGUAAUUCCGAUUCAUUAAAACCCCAAACUAGAUAGGUUUCGAAUUCUAACUCAAGAAAAUCAAACAAUCAUAUUUUAUUAAAACGCACCGUUUUUCCUAUGCUCAGUUUUAGGUCUGAAGCCAAUUUCGAAACCUGAAGAAUGAUGUUUUUUUUUUUUUUUUGAAUUCUGUUCAAUUUUAUUGAUUGAAUUUAAGAACAUGAACCCAAGGCUCUGAUACCACAUGUUAAACUUAUUACACCGAUCAGAUUCAGUUUUAUAAAUCACAACCAAGAUCAAAACACAGAACACUAAUCCAUAUAAAAGUAAAACAUACUGACCUGAAGAAUUUCCAUUGAAUGCAGCCAUGAGUGUUCACUGCUAAUCUGAACGCAACAACUCUUCUUCUCUCUGUCAGGCUCUCUGUCAGGAUACUAUUGCUCUAACCAAGAAUAGGACUCAGUUCCAACAAGAGCGCGCACCUGUGAGAGAAGAGAUUGCCAUAUAUAUAUAUAUGUACACACAUAUCCUUCUCACAUUAGAAUAUGGAUUCCCUAUUAAAAUCCUUAUAGAAAACUACUUAAGUCUUCCUAAUUCAAAUCAGUUUAUCUCUGCAAUAGAAUCCUCUACUGCUAAGAACUGAAUUCCAUCUUCUAUAAGGUUUUCUUAUUCUUAUUGGACUCAAACAACUAAUGCCCAAUCAUCUUAUCUCAUAUUCAUUUUCUUACAG
rnacentral:lncRNA from 1 species